AAUAUUGGUUCAGAAAGAUUUUCUCCUUUUCUAUCUUUUAUUUCUUUUCCUAAAAAUUUGUCUUGAAAGGAUUUUUCAAAGCUUACUACCAGAAACCGAAAAGGAAUUCAUCCAAUGCAGGAUAAUACAAACAGUCUUAAAGGUCGGUCCCAGGCAAUGCAGUGAUCGUGCCCGGCAGUUUUGGAGGAAGUAAGCUCCUAAAGGGAGUGGUUUCGGGAGUUAAAAGCAGACUCCCACAGCAUGAGUUUAAAGAGAAAGCAGAAAAGGGGAUAAAUUGAAAACCAAUCCCCAGCAGGCUAGGACCCCCAGCAGGCAAGUUUGCCCACCAACCAAUUAUGGGGACAUAGAGCAAGAAAAGGGGAAGAGAGGAAAAAUCAUCCGCCGGAAAGGCACCCUCUACCACCACGAUUAAAACUAACUAAAUCCUUUUGUCUGCUGCAGGAAAACAAAGGAUUGAUAAAGGUAGCAAAACGCAACGCCAGGGAAAUCACCAAAGAACCGGGGCAGAAAAGUUUCUGCCAAUUGUCGAAAAUUUUCUCGGAAGAACGGGGAAACAAUUUCAAUACUUUUAAGUUCUAGGUCGCCCACCAGUAUAAUGCGGGAGUACAUUUAAGUUCUAGGUCGCCCACCAGUAUAAUGCGGGAAUACAUUUAAGUUCUAGGUCGCCCACCAGUAUAAUGCGGGAAUACAUUUAAGUUCUAGGUCGCCCACCAGUAAAAUGCGGGAAUACAUUUAAGUUCUAGGUCGCCCACCAGUAAAAUGCAGGAAUAUAUUUAAGUUCUAGGUUGCCCACCAGUAAAAUGCGGGAAUACAUUUAAGUUCUAGAUCGCCCACCAGUAAAAUGUGGGA
rnacentral:lncRNA from 1 species